UCGUUCAUUCAAAUUUCUGCCCUAUCUAGCUCUGAUGGUAGUGUAGUGGACUACCAUGGCAUUGACGGGUGACGGGGAAUUAGGGUUCGAUUCCGGAGAAGUGGCCUUAAAAACGGCCAUUAUAUCUAAGGAAAGCAGCAGGCGCGAAAAUUUUCCAAUCCUGAUACAGGGAGAAAGUGACAUUUACUAACGAUGGUGGGCCUUUUGGGUUCGCUAAUCGGACUGAGGACGGGUUAAAGUUUCUAUCGAUAUCAACUGGAGGGCAAGUCUGGUGCCAGCAGCCGCGGUAAUUCCAGCUCCAGUAGCGUAUACUAAUAUUGUUGCAGUUAAAUAGCUCGUAGUUGGAUUUUUGGGCGAUGUUCGUGGACCCGGCCCUUCACGGGGUUUGUGGUUCAAGACUUGUCCAUUCGUCUCGUUAGCAAUAACGGGGCCUUUUACUUUGAAUAAAUUGGGGUGCUCAAAACAGCCCUUUUGGGCGGAACACCUCAGCAUGGAAUAACGCAAUAGGACUCUUCGUCUGCUGCGAUUGGUUCACACGAAGUGGUAAUGAUUGAUAGGGGCCAUUGGGGGCGCUAGUAUUUCGAAAACAGAGGUGAAAUUCUUGGACCUUCGAAAGACUGACUGAUGCGAAAGCGUUCGCCCAGGGGGCCUUCUUUAAUCAAGAACGAAAGUUGGGGGAUCAAAGACGAUCAGAUACCGUCGUAGUCUCAACUAUAAACUAUGCCAACCAGGAAUCAGCAGAUGGCGUAUCUAAAGCCGCUGUUGGAGCCUUAAGGGAAACCAGAGUUUUCGGGUUCCGGGGGGAGUAUGGUCGCAAGGCUGAAACUUAAAGGAAUUGACGGAAGGGCACCACCAGAAAUGGAGCCUGCGGCUUAAUUUGACCCAACACGGGAAAACUUACCAGGUCCAGUCAGAGCGAGGAUUGACAGGUUGAAGACCUUUCUUGAUUCUUUGGUUGGUAGUGCAUGGCCGUUCUUAGUUGGUGGAGUGAUUUGUCUGGUUAAUUCCGUUAACGAACGAGACCUCCGCGGUGUUAAAUAGGCCCAUUCAUCUUUAUGGAUGUGGUCUUCUUAGCCGGACUAUCGGUGUUUAGCCGGUGGAAGCUGGAGGCAAUAACAGGUCCGUGAUGCUCCUAGACGUUCUGGGCCGCACGCGCGCUACAAUGAUUCGUUCAGCGGGCUUUCCUCCUGGUUUGAGAGAACUGGGGAAUCCUUUGAAAGCGAAUCGUGCUGGGGAUUGAUCAUUGCAAUUAUUGGUCAUCAACGAGGAAUUUCUAGUAAACGCGUGUCAUCAGCACGCAUUGAUUACGUCCCUGCCCUUUGUACACACCGCCCGUCGCUACUACCGAUGGAUGACUUAGUGAGGUUCAAGGAGCCUGAACUUGGGGGGUCAAACUCCUGGGGGAUAGCGAAUUGAAACAAACUUGAUUAUCUAGAGGAAGUAAAAGUCGUAACAAGGUA
rnacentral:rRNA from 1 species